rnacentral:rRNA from 1 species
GAUGAACGCUGGCGGCGUGCCUAAUACAUGCAAGUCGAGCGAACGGACGAGAAGCUUGCUUCUCUGAUGUUAGCGGCGGACGGGUGAGUAACACGUGGAUAACCUACCUAUAAGACUGGGAUAACUUCGGGAAACCGGAGCUAAUACCGGAUAAUAUUUUGAACCGCAUGGUUCAAAAGUGAAAGACGGUCUUGCUGUCACUUAUAGAUGGAUCCGCGCUGCAUUAGCUAGUUGGUAAGGUAACGGCUUACCAAGGCAACGAUGCAUAGCCGACCUGAGAGGGUGAUCGGCCACACUGGAACUGAGACACGGUCCAGACUCCUACGGGAGGCAGCAGUAGGGAAUCUUCCGCAAUGGGCGAAAGCCUGACGGAGCAACGCCGCGUGAGUGAUGAAGGUCUUCGGAUCGUAAAACUCUGUUAUUAGGGAAGAACAUAUGUGUAAGUAACUGUGCACAUCUUGACGGUACCUAAUCAGAAAGCCACGGCUAACUACGUGCCAGCAGCCGCGGUAAUACGUAGGUGGCAAGCGUUAUCCGGAAUUAUUGGGCGUAAAGCGCGCGUAGGCGGUUUUUUAGUCUGAUGUGAAAGCCCACGGCUCAACCGUGGAGGGUCAUUGGAAACUGGAAAACUUGAGUGCAGAAGAGGAAAGUGGAAUUCCAUGUGUAGCGGUGAAAUGCGCAGAGAUAUGGAGGAACACCAGUGGCGAAGGCGACUUUCUGGUCUGUAACUGACGCUGAUGUGCGAAAGCGUGGGGAUCAAACAGGAUUAGAUACCCUGGUAGUCCACGCCGUAAACGAUGAGUGCUAAGUGUUAGGGGGUUUCCGCCCCUUAGUGCUGCAGCUAACGCAUUAAGCACUCCGCCUGGGGAGUACGACCGCAAGGUUGAAACUCAAAGGAAUUGACGGGGACCCGCACAAGCGGUGGAGCAUGUGGUUUAAUUCGAAGCAACGCGAAGAACCUUACCAAAUCUUGACAUCCUUUGACAACUCUAGAGAUAGAGCCUUCCCCUUCGGGGGGGGCAAAGUGACAGGUGGUGCAUGGUUGUCGUCAGCUCGUGUCGUGAGAUGUUGGGUUAAGUCCCGCAACGAGCGCAACCCUUAAGCUUAGUUGCCAUCAUUAAGUUGGGCACUCUAAGUUGACUGCCGGUGACAAACCGGAGGAAGGUGGGGAUGACGUCAAAUCAUCAUGCCCCUUAUGAUUUGGGCUACACACGUGCUACAAUGGACAAUACAAAGGGCAGCGAAACCGCGAGGUCAAGCAAAUCCCAUAAAGUUGUUCUCAGUUCGGAUUGUAGUCUGCAACUCGACUACAUGAAGCUGGAAUCGCUAGUAAUCGUAGAUCAGCAUGCUACGGUGAAUACGUUCCCGGGUCU